rnacentral:rRNA from 1 species
UACAGAGGGUGCAAGCGUUGUUCGGAAUUAUUGGGCGUAAAGGGCGCGUAGGCGGUUCGGCAAGUCUCUAGUGAAAUCUCAGGGCUCAACUCUGAGUCUGCUGGGGAAACUGCCGGGCUUGAGUGUGGGAGAGGAGAGUGGAAUUCCCGGUGUAGCGGUGAAAUGCGUAGAGAUCGGGAAGAACAUCGGUGGCGAAAGCGCUCUACUGGACCGCAACUGACACUCAGGGACGAAAGCUAGGGGAGCGAAUGGG